GAUGAACGCUGGCGGCGUGCCUAAUACAUGCAAGUCGAGCGAACGGACGAGAAGCUUGCUUCUCUGAUGUUAGCGGCGGACGGGUGAGUAACACGUGGAUAACCUACCUAUAAGACUGGGAUAACUUCGGGAAACCGUAGCUAAUACCGGAUAAUAUUUUGAACCGCAUGGUUCAAAAGUGAAAGACGGUCUUGCUGUCACUUAUAGAUGGAUCCGCGCUGCAUUAGCUAGUUGGUAAGGUAACGGCUUACCAAGGCAACGAUGCAUAGCCGGCCUGAGGGGGUGAUCGGCCACACUGGAACUGAGACACGGUCCAGACUCCUACGGGAGGCAGCAGUAGGGAAUCUUCCGCAAUGGGCGAAAGCCUGACGGAGCAACGCCGCGUGAGUGAUGAAGGUCUUCGGAUCGUAAAACUCUGUUAUUAGGGAAGAACAUAUGUGUAAGUAACUGUGCACAGCUUGACGGUACCUAAUCAGAAAGCCACGGCUAACUACGUG
rnacentral:rRNA from 1 species